UACGUAGGAGGCAAGCGUUGUCCGGAAUUACUGGGCGUAAAGCGCGUGUAGGUGGUGGGACAAGUCUGCUGUGAAAGCGCCUGGCUUAACCGGGCGAGGUCGGCGGAAACUGUCGCACUCGAGGACGGUAGAGGGGGGUGGAAUUCCCGGUGUAGUGGUGAAAUGCGUAGAGAUCGGGAGGAACACCUGUGGCGAAAGCGGCUCCUGGUCCAGCACCGACGUUCAGGCACGAAAGCGUGGGGAGCAAACAGG
rnacentral:rRNA from 1 species